ensembl:snoRNA SNORD83 Small nucleolar RNA SNORD83
GCCAAAUGAUGUUUUUUUGAUUCAGGAGCACUUUAGUGCUGGGACGACUCUUCAUCUAUCACCCAUGACUGAUGGCU